rnacentral:rRNA from 1 species
AUGACCAGUAUCUCCACCAACCAGUUCGGCUCCGGCGGCAGCAAUGGAGGGUCUGCCUCCAGGCCGCACGGCAGGGAUAUGGUGAUUUGGACCGAAGAGAUGAAUGAGUAUCUCAUCGAUGCGCUCAUGCACCAGCAGGACAUUGGGAACAGGAGCGCCGAGGGCAGGUUCUUGACCGGCGCCUAUGAAAGCGUCAUCACCGGGGUCGGCGAGAGGUUCGGGGUGGUGAUCGACAGGUCCAACAUCAAGAACCGUCUCAAGCAUGUCAAGGACAUGUUCCAUGAGUGCGAGAACCUUUUCGAUAAGCAGAGCGGGAUUAAAUGGAACCCGGCGACCCGGAGGUUCCACGCCGACCCUCAAGUCUGGAGGGAAUUCAUUGAGAGAAAACCAGAAGCCAAGAAAUGGAUGACGAAGACCAUUGAUCAUUACGAUAGGUUAUUGGAGUUAUUUGGUAAAGAUAGGGCACCUCCGGCUUCUGAGAACUCGAAAGGUCCUUCGAAAAAAAAGGCGCGAAUAGAACCGCCAAAGGAUAGACCUCAACGUCAACAGACGUCAUCAAAUGGCUUUGAGUUAGCAAUCGUCCAAGGUUCAAAUCAAGUAAUGGAUAAAAAUGAGCUGCCUGGUGCUGUGGUAGCAGAAAAUAACAUAAUUGGGGAACUCGAUUUAUCAGAAUUGUGCAAAAGCGAGAAUGGCCUUGUUGCCAUACCUGUUCAUGGUAAUGCAUAUGGCAAGGGUUUGCCCUAUGCUCCUGAAAAUUGGCCGUCUCCUGGAGAUCAGUGGCAAUGGAAAGUGGGGAACAGAAUUGCUGCAGGUGGGCAUUGGGUGGACAGAUAUCUUGCCCCACCCUCGCGUUUUCGUGAUGCUACUGGUAAAAAGACGACAUUCACAAGUAGACUGAAAGUUGGAGAGUUUAUCAAGAGCAACUUUCCAGAUGUUGAUCCUAGCACAUUUUUCUCUAUGUUCAUAUGGAAGAUCCCUGCUGCAGAAGGCGGGAUUCAAAGAGGAACUCUUCAAGUGGAACGUGUUGAACCUGAAGAUGGCCUGGCGGAUCCUGAUGGACCAUGCAAGGCUCGGAAUAAGGCAUGCAAUCUUGGGAAAGAAGGGUUUAUUGAAUCAUCACCAGCAGGGAAUUGUGACAUCUGCUGCGUACAUCCUGAUUUCUGUUGUACAUGCUGUUGCAUUCUCUGUGGCAAGGCUGUUAACAAUUCCUUUGGAGGUUAUAGUUACAUCAAGUGUGAGGCAGUUGUGGCAGAGAACUACAUCUGUGGGCAUCUUGCCCACCUUGACUGUGCUCUGAGGAUUUUCAUGGCUGGAACUGUUGGAGGAAGCAUCGGGUUGGAUGUGCAAUAUUACUGCAGGCGGUGUGACAACAAAACUAACCUGAUGAUGCAUGUGGAGAAACUGCUGGAAACAUGUCGCUCUCUUGGAUCGAGGAGUGAGAUUGAGCCAAUCCUUAAUAUGGGCUUGUGCAUCUUGCGUGGUUCAAGACAAGUGCAAGCGAAAAGCUUGGAGGACUAUAUGGCAUCAGUGAUGGAAAAGGUGAAUAAUGGGGUUGAUCUUGCUGAAGUAUGGAAUAUGGAGGAUAGUGAUGGCAUGCCAAUACUGAAUGCAGAAGAAAGUUCCCCACCUGUCGCUGGUGUCACGGUGCUAGGGACUGAGCCACAGUACCCAUAUCUGACUGAUCCAAUGGUUGAUAAUGAGCUGCAGAGGGCUGCCGAAAGUGUUCCAAUUUUCAUUACUGGUGAUCACACCGAGAUGUCUCUCAAAUUUGAGGAUGAGAUAGAUAAUUCCCUUCUAGAACUGAAGAAAUCUCAGGAAGCAGAAUACAGGCUGGCAGAGCAGAAGCUUUAUUCUCAGAAAGAUUAUAUCCUCAGUCUGUAUCGGCAGCUUGAGUCAGACAGGUCCCAGCUUGCAGAUCCUAACCCCGUAUCCGAUAUCUCAAGCUACAGCGUGCUUCUCUCCAACAUUACUAACCGAGUGGAACAAGUGAAGCGCGAGGAGGAGAAGUUCCAGACCAUGCUCAAAAUCUCCAAGGGAUUCCGGAAAGCACCGGCGAACAUCAAGGAGCACUUUGGGUUGCCGCCACCAGCGGAGUAG